ACGUAGGGAGCGAGCGUUGUCCGGAAUUACUGGGUGUAAAGGGAGUGUAGGCGGGACGGCAAGUCAGAUGUGAAAUUUAGGGGCUCAACCCCUGACCUGCAUUUGAAACUGCUGUUCUUGAGUGAAGUAGAGGUAAGCGGAAUUCCUAGUGUAGCGGUGAAAUGCGUAGAUAUUAGGAGGAACAUCAGUGGCGAAGGCGGCUUACUGGGCUUUAACUGACGCUGAGGCUCGAAAGCGUGGGGAGCAAACAG
rnacentral:rRNA from 1 species